rfam:Triticum aestivum genome assembly, contig: Triticum_aestivum_CS42_TGACv1_scaffold_456696_5DS
CAAAUACUCCCUCGGUCCUAAGAUUCUGGUUUUAGAUUCGUUUAGAUACAGAUGUAUCUAAUACUAAAAUGUGAUUUGAUACAUCCGUAUUUAGGAAAAUCUAAUACAACAAUUUUGAGACGGAGGGAGUAUGAA